CUCCUACGGGAGGCAGCAGUGGGGAAUAUUGCACAAUGGGGGAAACCCUGAUGCAGCCAUGCCGCGUGUGUGAAGAAGGCCUUCGGGUUGUAAAGCACUUUCAGUAGGGAGGAAGGUAGUGUAGUUAACACCUGCACUAUUUGACGUUACCUACAGAAGAAGCACCGGCUAACUCCGUGCCAGCAGCCGCGGUAAUACGGAGGGUGCGAGCGUUAAUCGGAAUUACUGGGCGUAAAGCGCAUGCUGGCGGCCUGUUAAGUCAGAUGUGAAAGCCCGGGGCUUAACCUCGGAAUUGCAUUUGAAACUGGCAGGCUAGAGUCUUGUAGAGGGGGGUAGAAUUUCAGGUGUAGCGGUGAAAUGCGUAGAGAUCUGAAGGAAUACCAGUGGCGAAGGCGGCCCCCUGGACAAAGACUGACGCUCAGAUGCGAAAGCGUGGGGAGCAAACAGGAUUAGAUACCCUGGUAGCACAGAG
rnacentral:rRNA from 1 species